ensembl:lncRNA
CCCGGUGCAGUACAGUUUAGCCGUUACACCCCGGUGCAGUACAGUGUACAGUUUAGCCGUUACACCCAGGUGCAGUACAGUGUACAGUUUAGCCGUCACACCCCGGUGCAGUACAGUGUACAGUUUAGCCGUUACACCCAGGUGCAGUAGUGUACAGUUUAGCCGUUACACCCCGGUGCAGUACAGUGUACAGUUUAGCCGUUACACCCCGGUGCAGUACAGUGUACAGUUUAGCCGUUACACCCCGGUGCAGUACAGUGUACUGUUUAGCCGUUACACCCCGGUGCAGUACAGUGUACAGUUUAGC